GUGUGUAACUAUACAAAUCCUUGUUGUAACUAAUUCAUAAUUGUAUAUAUUUUAAUUAAUUUUAUUGUAAAUUUAGUGUCUCGUAAUUUUAUGAAGGCUGGCUAUCGAUCUUUGUUUUAACUGUAAGACCAAUGUGCGACACUAUAAUGAAAUAAUCAUUAUAUUCAUCUUUUAUAUUUAAUCUCAAUUACCAGAUUAAAAUUUCACACCUAAUUGAACAUUGCAGAUGUACGCUGACCACUAUGUGUAUAUACCAAGAAACUGCUAGGUGUGAAAAUAAGAUGUGUCAAUUGUAUGAGGACCUGUACGGGGGUCCUUAAUUCUAUAAUUGUUCAGUCUUUUUCUGUGUUCUUUAUAUAUAUAAGCACUUCGUCAUUCUCUAUUCCUUAUCUUUUUCUCUAUGUUUCUGUAGUCAUUAUUUAUUUUCCUUUAUUCGGCACUUUUAACCCAUUAUUCACUAUUCAUCGACCCCAUCCUGACCCUCUUUUUUAAUGAACCGUUAGCAAAUACGUCUCGAAGGUGGCAGCAUACAUCACAGUCCACGACAUUAUAAACUAGUAAGGCACACAUACUGCUGGUGAUCAACCUUUGAUUUAUAAACUAGAAUAAAUAUACUAAAAAA
rnacentral:lncRNA from 1 species